AACGAACGCUGGCGGCGUGCCUAAUACAUGCAAGUCGAACGAGUGGCGGACGGGUGAGUAAUGUCUGGGAAAUUGCCUGAUGUAGGGGGAUAACUAUUGGAAACGGUAUCUAAUACCGCAUACCAUCAGCUGUGCCCAUAUGGGAUUGGCUAGUAUGUGGGGUAACGGCACAACUAGGCGACGAUCCCUAGCUUGUCUGAGAGGUUGACCAGCAACACUGGAACUGAGACACGGUCCGUACUCCUACGGGAGGCAGCAUUGGGGAAUAUUGCACAAUGGGCGCAAGCCUGAUGCAGCCAUGCCGCGUGUGUGAAGAAGGCCUUCGGGUUGUAAAGCAAUUUCAGCGAGGAGGCGUUACUCGCAGAAGAAGCACCGGCUAACUCCGUGCCAGCAGCCGCGGUAAUUC
rnacentral:rRNA from 1 species